AGUGAACGCUGGCGGCGUGCCUAAUACAUGCAAGUCGAACGAAGUGGCGCACGGGUGAGUAAUAUAUAGUUAAUCUGCCCUACACAGAGGAACAACAGUUGGAAACGGCUGCUAAUACCUCAUAGUGUAGGAUGAGACUAUAUCGUAUCAGCUAGUUGGUAAGGUAAUGGCUUACCAAGGCUAUGACGCGUAACUGGUCUGAGAUGAUGAUCAGGAACAUUGGAACUGAGACACGGUUCAGACACAUACGGGAAGGAGCAGUAAGGAAUAUUGCGAAAUGGGGGAAACCCUGAAGCAGCAACGCAGCGUGGAGGAUGACACUUUUCGGAGAGUAAACUCCUUUGAUCAGGAAAGCGGUACCUGAUGAAUAAGCACCGGCUAACUCCGUGCCAGCAGCCGCGGUAAUAC
rnacentral:rRNA from 1 species